UACGUAGGUGGCAAGCGUUGUCCGGAAUUAUUGGGCGUAAAGCGCGCGCAGGCGGCCUUUUAAGUCUGAUGUGAAAGCCCACGGCUCAACCGUGGAAGGUCAUUGGAAACUGAAAGGCUUGAGUACAGAAGAGGAAAGCGGAAUUCCACGUGUGGCGGUGAAAUGCGUAGAGAUGUGGAGGAACACCAGUGGCGAAGGCGGCUUUCUGGACCGUAACUGACGCUGAGACACGAAAGCGUGGGUAGCAAACAGG
rnacentral:rRNA from 1 species